rnacentral:rRNA from 1 species
UACGGGGGGGGCAAGCGUUUGUUCGGAAUUACUGGGCGUAAAGGGCUCGUAGGCGGCCAACUAAGUCGGAUGUGAAAUCCCCAGGCUUAACCUGGGAACUGCAUCCGAUACUGGAUGGCUUGAAUUCGGGAGAGGGAUGCAGAAUUCCAGGUGUAGCGGUGAAAUGCGUAGAUAUCUGGAGGAAUACCGGUGGCGAAGGCGGCAUCCUGGACCGACAUUGACGCUGAGGAGCGAAAGCUAGGGGGAGCAAACGGG